AUUGAACGCUGGCGGCAGGCCUAACACAUGCAAGUCGAGCGGAUGAGUGGAGCUUGCUCCAUGAUUCAGCGGCGGACGGGUGAGUAAUGCCUAGGAAUCUGCCUGGUAGUGGGGGACAACGUUUCGAAAGGAACGCUAAUACCGCAUACGUCCUACGGGAGAAAGUGGGGGAUCUUCGGACCUCACGCUAUCAGAUGAGCCUAGGUCGGAUUAGCUAGUUGGAGAGGUAAAGGCACACCAAGGCGACGAUCCGUAACUGGUCUGAGAGGAUGAUCAGUCACACUGGAACUGAGACACGGUCCAGACUCCUACGGGAGGCAGCAGUGGGGAAUAUUGGACAAUGGGCGAAAGCCUGAUCCAGCCAUGCCGCGUGUGUGAAGAAGGUCUUCGGAUUGUAAAGCACUUUAAGUUGGGAGGAAGGGCAGUAAGUAAAUACCUUGCUGUUUUGACGUUACCAACAGAAUAAGCACCGGCUAACUUCGUGCCAGCCGCCGCCGUAAGAC
rnacentral:rRNA from 1 species